AACCUUUACACUGCACGACAGUGCGAUAGGGGGACACCGAGUGCGAGGGCAUAGAGCCCUCGCUUUUGUAGACCGUAAGGAGGUCUACGAAUAAGGGCUGGGCAAGACCGGUGCCAGCCGCCGCGGUAACACCGGCAGCCCGAGUGAUGGCCGAUAUUAUUGGGCCUAAAGCGUCCGUAGCCGGCCGGACAAGUCCGUUGGGAAAUCGACGCGCUCAACGCGUCGGCGUCCAGCGGAAACUGUCCGGCUUGGGGCCGGAAGACCUGAGGGGUACGUCCGGGGUAGGAGUGAAAUCCUGUAAUCCUGGACGGACCACCAAUGGGGAAACCACCUCAGGAAGACGGACCCGACGGUGAGGGACGAAAGCUAGGGUCUCGAACCGGAUUAGAUACCCGGGUAGUCCUAGCUGUAAACGAUGCUCGCUAGGUGUGCCGUAGGCUACGAGCCUGCGCUGCGCCCUAGGGAAGCCGAGAAGCGAGCCGCCUGGGAAGUACGUCCGCAAGGAUGAAACUUAA
rnacentral:rRNA from 1 species